UGCAUUACUCAUACACUGAUUAGUAGAAGAGGGGAUGGACGAGGAGGAGAAAUGUAAACACUCAUACAUCCCUAUCACUUAUUCUGCAUCCAGAACCUCUGAAUGAAUAGCACAUAUACAGCCUCACAAUUUGGAGCCAUAGAUCUGAACUUACAAUUUAAUAUAUAAAAUGAGGGCUCCAUUCCCAUCUGAUGGAAAACAUCUAGUCCCCCAACCAUGGGAUCAUGCAUGGAUGGCAUCUCCAAUAAUACCAGACUGGAUUCGGCACACUUCUGCAGAACAAAUUCAAGAAGAUAAUGAGAAGCUACAGUAUUCAGUACAACUCGGGCAUUCAUGCACCAAUCAGAUUGUGGUGAGGGGAGGCAUGCCUGGGGGGCGCAGAAGCAGAUGGAAAUAUGGCACUGGACCCGUACUUAUUCUUAUAAUCCUAAAGUAAGUACAAUUCUGCUGGCAAAUUUUAGGGGGCUGUUAUAUAUAAAGUCACAUGCAUAUCAAUACACAUUAUAUUGAAGGGGGUGGUUUUAAGAACACAUUUAUUUAGAGAAGCUUACCCUAAUCUAGUUUAGCAAUGACCCUGUGCCCCACC